GCGGUCGUGGCGGAAUGGUAGACGCGCAGCGUUGAGGUCGCUGUGGGGUAACUCCCGUGGAAGUUCGAGUCUUCUCGACCGCACCA
rnacentral:tRNA from 8 species